rnacentral:rRNA from 1 species
UACGUAGGGACCAGGCGUUGUUCGGAUUUACUGGGCGUAAAGGGCGCGUAGGCGGCAAUUCAAGUCAUCUGUGAAAUCUCCGGGCUUAACUCGGAACGGUCAGAUGAUACUGCUUUGCUAGAGUGCGGAAGGGGCAAUCGGAAUUCUUGGUGUAGCGGUGAAAUGCGUAGAUAUCGAGAGGAACACCUGCGGCGAAGGCGGGUUGCUGGGCUGAUACUGACGCUGAUGCGCGAAAGCCAGGGGAGCAAACGGG